GGNUAGGCAUGCAAGUCGAACGAGGAGCGCCCCGAAAGGGGUGCAAACCGAGUGGCGUAAGGGUGAGUAAUGCAUUGAUAACCUACCUUUGAGAUGAGGAUAACAACGUUUCAAGUAAUUGAAACUACCGAAAGGGUUGCUAAUACUCAAUAAAACUGUUGUUGCUUUGGUAGCGAUAGUCAAAUAGGUGGAGUCGAAAGGCUUCAUUUGCUCAGAGAGGGGUUAAUGUCCUAUCAGCUAGUUGGUAGGGUAAUGGCCUACCAAGGCAAAGACGGGUAGCCGGCCUGAGAGGGUGGUCGGCCACACUGGGACUGAGACACUGCCCAGACUCCUACGGGAGGCUGCAGUCGAGUAUCUUCGCAAUGCCCGAAAGGGUGACGAAGCGACGCCGCGUGCGGGAAGAAGGCCUUCGGGUUGUAAACCGCUGUCGGGAGUUAAGAAAUGUAAGGAUGUUAAUAGCAUCUUUGCUUGACUAAGGCUCCGGAGGAAGCCACGGCUAACUCUGUGCCA
rnacentral:rRNA from 1 species